rnacentral:tRNA from 1 species
AGGGGUUUAGGAUAGCACUAGACCGAAAGCCUUCAAAGCUUUAAGCGGGGGUGAAAACCCCCCAACCCCUG